rnacentral:tRNA from 1 species
GCAGAAGUAGCUUUAGUGGUAGAGCGCUGCCUUGGUAAGGCAGAGGUCAUGGGUUCGAAUCCCAUCUUCUGCUCCA